UACGUAGGGUCCGAGCGUUGUCCGGAAUUACUGGGCGUAAAGAGCUCGUAGGUGGUUUGUCGCGUUGUUCGUGAAAACUCACAGCUCAACUGUGGGCGUGCGGGCGAUACGGGCAGACUUGAGUACUGCAGGGGAGACUGGAAUUCCUGGUGUAGCGGUGGAAUGCGCAGAUAUCAGGAGGAACACCGGUGGCGAAGGCGGGUCUCUGGGCAGUACUGACGCUGAGGAGCGAAAGCGUGGGGAGCGAACAGG
rnacentral:rRNA from 1 species